GCAAUUGGCAAUACCAAGUUGAUUUUGGCUAAUCUCAGAACCUAACCAAGUUUGGCCCUGGUUGAUACAGGCAUAGGGGUCUAGUUAUGAAUUCAUGGGCUCUUCCU
rnacentral:rRNA from 1 species